GCAAGAGCUAUAUUUUGGAAUCCAAAAUUAAAGUUGUAGUGUUCUAUAAAAAAACUGAAAAUGAAAACAUUGCAAAGUAUACAAAAAUUUCAAAAUACGGCUGGUCCAAGCGUUGCUGUUGCUGGGAGUGCAAGCUCUGCAAAUUCUAAAGCGAUUCCGACGAUACCAAUAGCGUUAAAUCAUGUGGCAGAUUUAUCGUUGAUUCAGACAACAACUGAAGCACCCACACCGGGUCGCGUAGGCGUACUAAUCAAGUUUUUUGAAAAAGUUAUUUCUGAUAAAAAGGAACAGCCUAAAGUUAUCAAGCCAAGAUCUACUAAAGAAAAUGGGUAAUUAAAUGAAGAACUGCAAGUAGUACCAUCGAUGAACAUAAGACCUAGUAAAACAUGUCUCGUUUCCACGCAAUCAGAACUAAAAUCUAAAGUUCCAACUACAGAUGAGGAAACCAACAAUUUAAUGAAAUUCGUUGUAGAAGCGCUACUGGAGAAGAUACCGUGUAACUUGUGACGUGAGUUUUACACCACCAUCACAACCUCAAAUAUAGAAACGCUAAUGGAAGAAGAUAUCGAGUAAUUUGUGACGCAAGUUUUACUUUAGUAGAACUAUGUCGGAUGAAGUAGGCCUAGAAGCAUUAAUGUAAGAUAAUAUGGAGUAGCUUGUAAUGUGAGUCUUACUUUAGUAGUACUAUAUCGGAUGAAGUAGGCCUAGAAGCACUAAUGGAAGAUAAUAUGGAGUAGCUUGUAACGUGAGUCUUACUUUAGUAGUACUAUAUCGGAUAAAGUAGGCCUAGAAGCACUAAUGGAAGAUAAUAUGGAGUAGCUUGUAACGUGAGUCUUACUUUAGUAGUACUAUAUCGGAUAAAGCCCUAGAAGCGGUGAUGAAAGUUUCGUGACAUUCUGGAACAGAGCAUAAAAGUUUAGUAAUAGUCGGUUCAGUUAAAGACUGGUUACAGACAGUUAAAAUGGCCUCUAAUAUUUUCGGACCAUCGUUUUUUUAUACGUUUUUAAUGAAUUGUGUUCGUUUGACGUACUUAAGUCAGUAAUAUUGGGGAUAGGAGAGAACUUUAAUAUAUCAAUGGAUCCAUUUUAUAAUCUGUGAUGGUUUGCGAUUUUAUAUUUUGCAUGCAAAAGCCAGUGGUUCGUUGGUUAAAAAUUUGUUAUAGACGCUACACACAAUAGUAUAAUAUAUUUUUUCAAAAGUUUAGGACAUCAAAA